rnacentral:rRNA from 1 species
GCCUAAUACAUGCAAGUCGAGCGGACAGAUGGGAGCUUGCUCCCUGAUGUUAGCGGCGGACGGGUGAGUAACACGUGGGUAACCUGCCUGUAAGACUGGGAUAACUCCGGGAAACCGGGGCUAAUACCGGAUGGUUGUUUGAACCGCAUGGUUCAAACAUAAAAGGUGGCUUCGGCUACCACUUACAGAUGGACCCGCGGCGCAUUAGCUAGUUGGUGAGGUAACGGCUCACCAAGGCAACGAUGCGUAGCCGACCUGAGAGGGUGAUCGGCCACACUGGGACUGAGACACGGCCCAGACUCCUACGGGAGGCAGCAGUAGGGAAUCUUCCGCAAUGGACGAAAGUCUGACGGAGCAACGCCGCGUGAGUGAUGAAGGUUUUCGGAUCGUAAAGCUCUGUUGUUAGGGAAGAACAAGUACCGUUCGAAUAGGGCGGUACCUUGACGGUACCUAACCAGAAAGCCACGGCUAACUACGUGCCAGCAGCCGCGGUAAUACGUAGGUGGCAAGCGUUGUCCGGAAUUAUUGGGCGUAAAGGGCUCGCAGGCGGUUUCUUAAGUCUGAUGUGAAAGCCCCCGGCUCAACCGGGGAGGGUCAUUGGAAACUGGGGAACUUGAGUGCAGAAGAGGAGAGUGGAAUUCCACGUGUAGCGGUGAAAUGCGUAGAGAUGUGGAGGAACACCAGUGGCGAAGGCGACUCUCUGGUCUGUAACUGACGCUGAGGAGCGAAA